rnacentral:rRNA from 1 species
UCCUACGGGAGGCAGCAGUAGGGAAUCUUCCACAAUGGACGAAAGUCUGAUGGAGCAACGCCGCGUGAGUGAAGAAGGGUUUCGGCUCGUAAAACUCUGUUGUUAAAGAAGAACAUAUCUGAGAGUAACUGUUCAGGUAUUGACGGUAUUUAACCAGAAAGCCACGGCUAACUACGUGCCAGCAGCCGCG